GCUGCUGUAGCUCAGUCGGUAGAGCACCUCAUUGGUAAUGAGGAGGUUCGGCAGUUCAAGUCUGCUCAGCAGCUCCA
rnacentral:tRNA from 3 species